rnacentral:rRNA from 1 species
AACCCCUAUUCGUAUGUUACAAGGUGUCUUAGAAAACCGCCUCGGUAAAACGAGGAGGAAGGUGGGGAUGACGUCUGGUCCGCAUAGCCCUUAUGUCCCUGGGCUACACACGCGCUACAAUGGCCGAUACAGUAGGAAGCCAAAUCGUAAGAUGGAGCUAAUCCUUAAAGUCGGUCUCAGUUCGGAUUGAGGUCUGAAAUUCGACCUCAUGAAGUUGGAUUUGCUAGUAAUCGUAGAUCAGCAUACUGCGGUGAAUACGUUCCCGGGCCUU